GAUGAACGCUGGCGGCGCGCCUAACACAUGCAAGUCGAACGGCACCCCUCCUCGGAGGGAAGCGAGUGGCGAACGGCUGAGUAACACGUGGAGAACCUGCCCCCUCCCCCGGGAUAGCCGCCCGAAAGGACGGGUAAUACCGGAUACCCCCGGGCGCCGCAUGGCGCCCGGGCUAAAGCCCCGACGGGAGGGGAUGGCUCCGCGGCCCAUCAGGUAGACGGCGGGGUGACGGCCCACCGUGCCGACAACGGGUAGCCGGGUUGAGAGACCGACCGGCCAGAUUGGGACUGAGACACGGCCCAGACUCCUACGGGAGGCAGCAGUGGGGAAUCUUGCGCAAUGGGGGGAACCCUGACGCAGCGACGCCGCGUGCGGGACGGAGGCCUUCGGGUCGUAAACCGCUUUCAGCAGGGAAGAGUCAAGACUGUACCUGCAGAAGAAGCCCCGGCUAA
rnacentral:rRNA from 1 species